GCCUGGGUGGCUCAGUUGGUUAAGCGACUGACUUCAGCUCAGGUCAUGAUCUCACAGUUUGUGAGUUCGAGCCCCACAUCAGGCU
rnacentral:tRNA from 1 species